GAUGAAGAACGUAGCGAAAUGCGAUACGUAAUGUGAAUUGCAGAAUUCAGUGAAUCAUCGAAUCUUUGAACGCACAUUGCGCCCGCCAGCACUCUGGCGGGCAUGCCUGUUCGAGCGUCAUUUCAACCAUCAAGCCCCAGGCUUGCGUUGGAGCCCUGCGGCUGCCGCAGCAUCCUAAAAGCAGUGGCGGGCUCGCUAUCACACCGAGUGCAGUAGAUUACUCUUCGCUCAGGGCGUGCAGCGGGUUCCGGCCGUGAAACCCCCUACUUUUAAAGGUUGACCUCGGAUCAGGUAGGAAUACCCGCUGAACUUAAGCAUAUCAAUAAGCGGAGGA
rnacentral:misc_RNA from 1 species